rnacentral:rRNA from 1 species
UGCCUACGGGGCGCAGCAGUGAGGAAUAUUGGUCAAUGGGCGGGAGCCUGAACCAGCCAAGCCGCGUGAAGGAAGAAGGCGCCAGGCGUCGUAAACUUCUUUUGUCGGGGAACAAAGGGCGCCACGUGUGGCGUUGUGAGUGUACCCGAAGAAAAAGCAUCGGCUAACUCCGUGCCAGCAGCCGCGGUAAUACGGAGGAUGCGCGCGUUAUCCGGAUUUAUUGGGGUUAAAGGGUGCGUAUGCGGUCCGGCAAGUC